AGCGAACGCUGGCGGCAGGCUUAACACAUGCAAGUCGAGCGGGCGUAGCAAUACGUCAGCGGCAGACGGUGAGUAACGCGUGGGAACGUACCUUUGGUUCGGAACAACACAGGGAAACUUGUGCUAAUACCGGAUAAGCCCUUACGGGGAAAGAUUUAUCGCCGAAAGAUCGGCCCGCGUCUGAUUAGCUAGUCGGUAGGGUAAUGGCCUACCAAGGCGACGAUCAGUAGCUGGUCUGAGAGGAUGAUCAGCCACAUUGGGACUGAGACACGGCCCAAACUCCUACGGGAGGCAGCAGUGGGGAAUAUUGGACAAUGGGGGCAACCCUGAUCCAGCCAUGCCGCGUGAGUGAUGAAGGCCCUAGGGUUGUAAAGCUCUUUUGUGCGGGAAGAUAAUGACGGUACCGCAAGAAUAAGCCCCGGCUAACUUCGUGCCAGCAGCCGCGGUAAU
rnacentral:rRNA from 1 species